GACGAACGCUGGCGGCGUGCCUAAUACAUGCAAGUCGAGCGGAUGUAAGAGGAGCUUGCUCCUCUAGAUUCAGCGGCGGACGGGUGAGUAACACGUGGGCAACCUGCCCUGUAGAUUGGGAUAACUCCGGGAAACCGGGGCUAAUACCGAAUAAUCCUUCGGACCUCAUGGUCCGAUGUUGAAAGACGGUUUCGGCUGUCACUACAGGAUGGUCCCGCGGCCCAUUAGCUAGUUGGUGAGGUAACGGCUCACCAAGGCCACGAUGCGUAGCCGACCUGAAAGGGUGAUCGGCCACACGGGGACUGAGGCACGGCCCAGACUCCUACGGGAGGCAGCAGUAGGGAAACGUCCACAAUGGACGAAAGUCUGAUGGAGCAACGCCGCGUGAGUGAAGAAGGUUCUCGGAUCGUAAAACUCUGUUGUGAGGGAAGAACAAGUACCGGAGUAACUGCCGGUGCCUUGACGGUACCUCAUUAGAAAGCCACGGCUAACUACGUGCCAGCCGCCGCCGUAA
rnacentral:rRNA from 1 species